AAACAGGUUUGGGAUUUAUCUGAUCAAGAUAACGACAGUAUGCUUUCUUUAAGGGAGUUCUGUACUGCUCUCUAUUUGAUGGAACGUUACAGAGAAGGCUGUCCUCUUCCUACUACACUCCCAAGCUCUGUAAUGUCUGAUGAGAUUUUGUUGUCUGCUACAAGCCACCUUACAGCUUCGCAUGGCAGUGGAACUUGGGGACCUGCUUCUGGUCCUCGACCACCACAAGUUAUGAUGGGUCCACGGCCAGCACCUGCUGCUGCAGCAAGGCC
rnacentral:misc_RNA from 1 species